AUCCCACAUUCUCCGCUUUUUUUUAACGGGGUAUAGCGUAGUUUGGUUAUCGCGCCUGGUUUGGGACCAGGAGAUCGUAGGUUCAAAUCCUGCUACCCCGA
rnacentral:tRNA from 1 species